GGGCUCGCAGGCGGUUUCUUAAGUCUGAUGUGAAAGCCCCCGGCUCAACCGGGGAGGGUCAUUGGAAACUGGGGAACUUGAGUGCAGAAGAGGAGAGUGGAAUUCCACGUGUAGCGGUGAAAUGCGUAGAGAUGUGGAGGAACACCAGUGGCGAAGGCGACUCUCUGGUCUGUAACUGACGCUGAGGAGCGAAAGCGUGGGGAGCGAACAGGAUUAGAUACCCUGGUAGUCCACGCCGUAAACGAUGAGUGCUAAGUGUUAGGGGGUUUCCGCCCCUUAGUGCUGCAGCUAACGCAUUAAGCACUCCGCCUGGGGAGUACGGUCGCAAGACUGAAACUCAAAGGAAUUGACGGGGGCCCGCACAAGCGGUGGAGCAUGUGGUUUAAUUCGAAGCAACGCGAAGAACCUUACCAGGUCUUGACAUCCUCUGACAAUCCUAGAGAUAGGACGUCCCCUUCGGGGGCAGAGUGACAGGUGGUGCAUGGUUGUCGUCAGCUCGUGUCGUGAGAUGUUGGGUUAAGUCCCGCAACGAGCGCAACCCUUGAUCUUAGUUGCCAGCAUUCAGUUGGGCACUCUAAGGUGACUGCCGGUGACAAACCGGAGGAAGGUGGGGAUGACGUCAAAUCAUCAUGCCCCUUAUGACCUGGGCUACACACGUGCUACAAUGGACAGAACAAAGGGCAGCGAAACCGCGAGGUUAAGCCAAUCCCACAAAUCUGUUCUCAGUUCGGAUCGCAGUCUGCAACUCGACUGCGUGAAGCUGGAAUCGCUAGUAAUCGCGGAUCAGCAUGCCGCGGUGGAAUACGUUCCCGGGGCCUUGUACACACCGCCCGUCACACCACGAGAGUUUGUAACACCCGAAGUCGGUGAGGUAACCUUUUAGGAGCCAGCCGCCGAAGGUGGGACAGAUGAUUGGGGUGAA
rnacentral:rRNA from 1 species